rnacentral:rRNA from 1 species
UACGUAGGGUGCAAGCGUUAAUCGGAAUUACUGGGCGUAAAGCGUGCGCAGGCGGUUCGGAAAGAAAGGUGUGAAAUCCCCGGGCUUAACCUGGGAACGGCACUUUUAACUACCGGGCUAGAGUGUGUCAGAGGGAGGUGGAAUUCCGCGUGUAGCAGUGAAAUGCGUAGAGAUGCGGAGGAACACCGAUGGCGAAGGCAGCCUCCUGGGACAACACUGACGCUCAUGCACGAAAGCGUGGGGAGCAAACAGG